rnacentral:rRNA from 1 species
AGUGAACGCUGGCGGCAGGCCUAAUACAUGCAAGUCGAACGGCAGCACAGUGUAGCUUGCUCCAUGGUGGGCGAGUGGCGGACGGGUGAGGAAUACAUGGGAAUCUUCCCAGUCGUGGGGGAAAACGUAGGGAAACUUACGCUAAUACCGCAUGCGCCCUGCGGGGGAGAGCGGGGGACCUUGGGGCCUUGCGCGAUUGGAGGGGCCCAUGUUCGGUUAGCUCGUUGGGGGGGUCAGGGCCCACCAAGGCGACGGUCGUUAGCUGGUCGGGGAGGAUGACCAGCCACACUGGGACUGAGACACGGCCCAGACUCCUACGGGAGGUGGCGGUAGGGAAUAUUGGACAAUGGGCGCAGGCCUGAUCCAGCCAUGCCGCGUGAGUGAAGAAGGCCCUCGGGUUGUAAAGCUCUUUUGUCCGGGAAGAAAAGCAUCGGGCUAAUACCUCGGUGUUCUGACGGUACCGGAAGAAUAAGCACCGGCUAACUUCGUG